rnacentral:rRNA from 1 species
AACGAACGCUGGCGGCGUGCCUAACACAUGCAAGUCGUACGAGAAAUCUGGAGCAAUCUGGAGAGUACAGUGGCGCACGGGUGAGUAACGCGUGGGUAACCUGCCCUUGGGUUGGGGAUAACUCCUCGAAAGGGGUGCUAAUACCGGAUAACAUUUCGAUCUCCACGGGGAUUGAAAUCAAAGGUGGCCUCUGCAUGCAAGCUACUGCCCGAGGAUGGGCCCGCGUCCCAUUAGCUAGUUGGUAGGGUAAUGGCCUACCAAGGCUGCGAUGGUUAGCUGGUCUGAGAGGAUGGCCAGGCAGACGGGAAUUUGGGCACGGUCCAGACUCCUACGGGAGGCAGCAGUGGGGAAUCGUGCGCAAUGGGGGAAACCCUGACGCAGCAACGCCGCGUGGGUGAUGAAGGCCUUCGGGUCGUAAAGCCCUGUCAGGUGGGAAGAAACCCAUCGGUGCGAAUAGCACCGGUGAUUGACGGUACCACCGGAGGAAGCACCGGCUAACUCCGUGCCAGCCGCCGCUGUAACAC